GAUGAACGCUGGCGGCGUGCCUAAUACAUGCAAGUCGAGCGAACAGACGAGGAGCUUGCUCCUCUGACGUUAGCGGCGGACGGGUGAGUAACACGUGGAUAACCUACCUAUAAGACUGGGAUAACUUCGGGAAACCGGAGCUAAUACCGGAUAAUAUAUUGAACCGCAUGGUUCAAUAGUGUAAGACGGUUUUGCUGUCACUUAUAGAUGGAUCCGCGCCGCAUUAGCUAGUUGGUAAGGUAACGGCUUACCAAGGCGACGAUGCGUAGCCGACCUGAGAGGGUGAUCGGCCACACUGGAACUGAGACACGGUCCAGACUCCUACGGGAGGCGGCAGUAGGGAAUCUUCCGCAAUGGGCGAAAGCCUGACGGAGCAACGCCGCGUGAGUGAUGAAGGUCUUCGGAUCGUAAAACUCUGUUAUUAGGGAAGAACAAAUGUGUAAGUAACUAUGCACGUCUUGACGGUACCUAAUCAGAAAGCCACGGCUAACUACGUG
rnacentral:rRNA from 1 species